GCUUUUAUGAGCUGUAACACUCGCUGCAAAGGUCUGCAGCUUCACUCCUGAAGCCAGCGAGACCACGAGCCCACCAGGAGAAACAAACAACUCCAGAUGCCUCGCUUUAAGAGCUGUAACAUUCACCACGAAGGUCUGCAGCUUCACUCCUGAGCCAGCGAGACCACGAACCCACCAGAAGGAAGAAACUCCGAACACAUCUGAACAUCAGAAGGAACAAACUCUGGACACGCCGCCUUUAGAACUGUAACACUCACCGCGAGGGUCCGCGGCUUCAUUCUUGAAGUCAGUGAGACCAAGAACCCGCCAAUUCCCGACACAAUUUCAAGUCCUCAGGUGCUAUCAAUAUUCUGAAAAUGGCAGUAAUUUUUAUUCAACCUGUAUAAGCCACUUUCACCAUGUACCUGGAAGCAACAUCCACAUCUUUUUCAGAGUUGAACCAGAGUCUGGUGAAUAUCAGCACUGGGACCAGUUAGCAGAGGAAAAGGGAAGAAUAAAAGGGAAAAGAAUGAAGAGCCAUAUGAUUACCAACUUUUCCUUUUUCAUAUAAAUUGAGUGUAUUUGGGUCUGGAACAACCUGAAUUUCCAUCAAGUCCUGGCUAACCUCAUUAUGCCCUAUGAAUAUUUUUUACUAAUCCCACUUUACAUUAAUCUGUAUUGUGAAUGUGGAUAUUGAAUUCCAUUUCUUUGUAAUCCCAUUAUCCAAAAUCCAGUUCAGAGACUAUCAGUUACCAAUGUUCACUGUGAAGGAAAAAAAAAAAAAACUCGGAGGAUAAACAUGUGAUAUGGUUUGGCUGUGUCCCCACCCAAAUAUCAUCUUGAAUUGUAGCUCCCAUAAUUCCCACAUGUUGUGGGAGGGACCCAGUGGGAGAAAAUUGAAUCAUGGGGGUGGUUCCCCCAUACUAUUCUUGUAGUAGUGAAUAAGUCUCACAAGACCUGAUGAUUUUAUGAGGGGAAAAACUCCUUUCACUUGGCUCUCAUUCUCUUCUCUGGUCUGUCGUCAUGUGAGACAUGCCUUUCACCUUCACCAUGAUUGUGAGGCCUCCCCAGCCAUGAGGAACUGUGAGCCCAUUAAACCUCUUUCACUUAUAAAU